UGAUUUGUACCUCUAAUCACAUGCAGCAGAAGGCCACCUCAGUGCCACAAAAAACUGUACUCUAGAGAGGAAAGAUGACUCGGGGAAUUUGGUUAUGAAGAUACACUUUCUGGGGCAAACAAGGGACGUUUUAAAAUCACACAGCCUCAUUUAUUGAAAACUAGGAAAAGCACCGUUACCUACGUAGCAAUCCAAACGACAUAUAAGAAGUUUCUACCAAAUGCACACUCCAAAGAAACUCAAACCAUGGUUUGGCUCAUUUUAGAUUAAUAUGGACUGAAACCAACCACCUUGACUUGUUUUUUGCAUAGGCCUUCAGAGGCAAAGAAGAACCUUUGUCAACAGUGGGGGCAACGGGAGCACCACGGAGCCUGUGCUGUGCCACAGUUGUUUGUCUUUCCCCACCUGCAAUUCACGAGCCACCCUCCAUCCUGCGAGGAGGAAGGCAGGUCCUCACCCUGCCACUCAGAGCCACGGGCAAACCCCUUGGUUCCCUUGCCCUGUUGCUGUGUUUCCCGAGCCGAACACACAGAAACCACGACUAGGCUGAGUGCUGCAGGCUGAGCCUCUACAUGACCCCGGCAUUACCUGUUCUGGGCCACAUUAUCUGAUGGUCAAUAUGACGCUGCAGUGAGGACAGUCAAGUGAUUUUACCCCAACCCUGCCUGCAGGCUCCUCUUUUUCUCAGUCUCCUACCAAAACUGGUCAUAGCACGGGGCUGCCCAGGGUCUCCCUGCAAAGAAAGAAGCCCCGCCCACUCCCCAUGCUGAAGACGGGUGGUGGAGGAUGAGUUCUGACGACUUCAGUAGAAAAGGCUUGUGAAGGAGGGAAGUGGCAACAGUGAGGUGACACGACCACUCCAAUGCCAGGAGGAAAUGGAAAGGCCUGUUACCAGCAGGUCUCUGUUACCAAAGCUGGAGUGUAGUGGCAUGAUCUCUGCUCACUGGAACCUGUGCCUCCUGGGAUCUAGUGAUCCUCCCCAGUCAGCCUCCCAGGUAGCUGGGACCACGGGUGGGCCACCACGCUGAGGUAGCUUUUUGCAUUUUUAGUAGAUACGAGGUUCCACCACUCUGCCUAGCCUCAUCUCCACUCCUGAUCUCAAGUGAUCCACUUGUCUCGACCUCCCAAACUACUAGGAUUACAGGCGUGAGCCACUGUUCCUGGCCAACUGGAGCAUUUUUAAGGCUUGUGAUAAUCAUGUUAUUAAACACAAUAGAGCAUGUUAGUGAGUAUUUCCUGCUUUUGACCACGAGCUGAGAAAUGAUCCCACCACUGCUGCCAAAAGCCUGUGAGCUCGCUCUGUGAGUUUCACAUUAAUGACC
rnacentral:lncRNA from 1 species